ACAUGGCGAAAUUACAAAUAUUUUUGCCCUAAACCUAGCCGAUUCAUUCCCAGCGGCAACAACCGCAUCCAUCCUCUUCGUUGUCAUCGCCCCAUCCAGCCAGCGCCCCCGUCCGGUCGCCUUGCUUCACCAUGUAGCCCUUGCCAGCCGUGCCACCACAGCAAGCGCCCCCGCCUUCGCCUGGCAGCCGGUCGCAAUCGGCCAGCCGGUUAGCGCCUGCGCCCGAACGCCUCGCUCCAGCCACCAGCCCACGCCCGCUGCCCACCGCCCACGUCAUGGCGGCGCCAGUCGUUGCCCCACUGUGUUCCAGUAGAUGGUAGUCUCUUCUCCCUGUGUUGCUUCCAUCUUGCUUUUCUGAAGCUGAUAGCCACAUCCUUGUCAGUUUGUAGAACUCAAGUUGUUUGCUUGGUCUGGUCUAGUUGGGUUACCGCAGUUGACCUGACAUGCCUUUAAAUCAUAAAUCCAUUGAAUUUCGAUCCUGAUUUUGUAAGCCAGUAAGUUAUAGAUAGGUGUAUCCUUUGUUGUUCUAUUCAUAGCUAUUUGAUCCGGUGCUCGUGAAAUAGAGCACCAAAAAGACCCUUUUUCUGACAUGUUGCUCCUGAUCACACGCAUGCUUUGUAUUUUUGUGGCUGGUUGACUGAUGCACUAUUUUAGUAUGUCGUGGAAACUGUAGGAUGCAAUAGGAUGCUUAUUUCAUAUGUUUAUCAUCCACGUGUACAAUUUCUAUAUCUCUUUUGUUGGUAAUUCGUUAGGCUUGGACAGAUAGAAUCGUACCCAAUCGCUGGGCAAUAACUGACUCAUGAUGACUGUUAUGAUUUGUUCAAUUUCGCAUAACUGACUCAAUCGCUACCUCAUACUUCGUUUCGAUCAUUGUACUUUUAUGAUCCUGUGAUCCCAAGCAUGGUUCUAAGACUAAGUAUAUUCUUUUUGAGUUUUUGCUUGCUGUUCGUGAGGAAGAUAUGCAAAAUUAGAGAGGGACAAUAUGGUCACUGCAGGAGAUGUGGGAAAAAUAAAGAAAAAAAUAAAAAUUAAUAAGAGGUUAUAGUACUAUUCUUAUGACACUAGCAGGAGAUGUAGAAAAAAAUAAUUAAUAAGAACUCAAGUCUAAAGCUUGCAACACAUUAUUAUAACACUAGCAGAUCAUUAAAUUAGAUAUCUAUACUAGAGCCUAAAGUCCAUUGAAAUUUUAAAUUCUAUACUUUGACGUAUGGAUGGUGUUUGGAGUGCAAAUAUGCAUGUUUAUGUUCAUUUCCUUUUGCAGGUUCAUAAAGCAUGGUUACCACCUUGGCUAGCGGCACAAUAUGCUCAUUAUGUGGUAAGAGCAGAACCAUAAAUAUUUAUCACUUCAAUUUCCAUUCUUAUGUUCUCCCAUCACUGACCACAAAUAUUUACUACUACAAUUUCCAUGUUCUUGUUCUCUCAUUGCUAUAGACGUCAUCAUUUGUAGGAGGUUGUCUCAGAUCACUGGAGCUAACAUGGGAAACCUGCUAUGCAGAAUGUUUUUGUGCCUUUUUCAUACUAGUUUCUUUUAUUUCCAAUUUCAAAAUGAAUUACACAAAUAAAAUGACCAUUUAUAUGUCUACGUAUCUAACAUUUCAGGCAUCAGAAAAAUUAGCACAUGCAAAGAAAUGGGUUGAAACUCAUAUUGAGGCUACUAAGAUGGUAAUGCCCAUUUGUUCAUGUAGUUCAAUUUCUUUUGUUUUAUAUUGGACUGACAGUUGGCUGACAUUAUUACCUCCUAUGAUUGAAGAAAUGGAUUUCUGUUAAGGAGAAAUUGGUUGUCCUAAAAAAUGUAGAACCUUAUGUACAAAAGGUAUCAACAAGAUGUUAAUGGGCUGAACUUCAUAUUAAGACUUCUAAAAUGGUAAUACCCAUUUAUUCAUGUACUUUGAUUUCUUCUGUUUUAUCUUGGGCUAACAGUUGACUGACAUUAUUAUUUCCUAUGAUUGAAGAAAUGGAUUCCUGUUAAAGACAAAAUUGGUGGUCCUCACGAAAAAUGCAGAACCUUAUGUACAAAUCGGUUGUCUUCAAAAUGUUGAUCUUGUAGCUGCAAUAAAGAGAAGCAACAAUGGCGCUGAUGCUACAUGGUUAGAAGUAGCAAUGUUGGUCUGGUAGCUCCAAGAUUUGGUUGUUAUUGAAUAAUAUCUAUGAUAAUAUGUUGAUAAGUAUAUGUGAUGAUCAUUGAUAGUUGUUCAAUUAUAAUGGGUUGUGCUUCUUGUGCUACAUUGACAUCGAUGAUAGUUAUAAAAUAAAAUGGCCUCGCUUGGGCCAAAUGUUUUGUGAUGAACAAAAGUGUUUUGUGACGAACAUCAUCAUAGUAUGAAUGCCACGUAAGGUCC
rnacentral:lncRNA from 1 species